ACAUUCAGCAUUUUCUUUCGUCACAUACAUAAUGGCAAUGGAGACAUUAUAUAUUUCCAUGUUUAUGACCAUAUUAUCAAGGGUCCAGUCAGAUAUUGUCCUGAACCAAAACAGCAAUGAAGUCAAAAAUCCCGGAGAGUCUCUGCGACUGACCUGUCAAGGUACAGGGCAGGACAGUUCUGGAAGAACCAUUGCUGCUUAUAACUUAAACUGGAUUCGACAAGAGCCUGGAAAAGGACUUGAAUGGCUGGCUUACAUUAAAUAUGACAGCAGUGCUACAGAGUAUGCCAGCAGCAUUAAAGGAAGAUUUACAAUCUCUAGAGACAAUUCUAAACAGGCUCUGUAUUUGGAUAUGAGCAGCCUCAAAACUAAAGACACAGCCACAUAUUACUGCACUACACCCACAAUGAGGAACUUCUUGAUAUCGCUCAUACAAAAUUUUAAUUAA